rnacentral:lncRNA from 1 species
CCUACCCUUUUCUAGGAACUGGGUACGGCCCGUGUCCUCCCCCGAGGCUGGGCAGGGACGUCAGCCCCAGGCCGAGCUCGCCUUCAGUGUUCAGCUCGGAGACUGACAGAUAAUAACACUUCCUGCAGGCGUCCAGCACUUCAACUAGCGCAUCCGGCCAGAUAGAUGGGAAUCCAGCCUUGAUUAAGGGUGGGGCUAUGCUCUUGAUUUCUUGGUAUCUCACGAUGAAAUGAGAGAGUGUGGGCCACCAAGGACGCUUUUCCCUCGCCCGGUUAACUGUUCAGCAGAAAUCUGUGGAGCAUCUAAUCGCGGCACGAACUUCCAGAGAGAGCCAGGCCCUGAACGUCGCCACCCUGGCUCCGUCCCUCUCAGACCCUGCAGUCACGCCUCUAGAAGUAAUUUUCCCCCAAACCUGCUCAGAGCUGCUCUCCUGAAAAAGGAAACAUUUUUCUCCCCUUCCAGGGACAGCCCCAUCCCGCCAGAUUUCUCAGAAGAGUAUUGGGCUCCUGACCCACUCCUCGCCCGCCUGGGUGCAGGCCUGUCCGGCCCCUCUGAGGCCGGCUUCCGCCCAGCAUCCCUCCCCAAGGUCACCAGUGACCCCGCUGCCGAGCCCCAGCAGUCUCUUCUGGUCUUCACCGCAUCAGCUCUGGGGCUUUUGUGGAGGCUCUUGCAGCCCUUGCUUCUGGAAUUUCUUGGUUCCUGUAAAGCUGCUCCUCCGUGGGUCCCCUCCCUCCCGGACCUCGGCUUCUCCUGGUCUCUCCUCCCUCCUCCGCAGUAAGUGCCCUAUGUCAGUGGAUGGAAAGGCAACACCAACGGGGCCAGGAAGGCAAACAAAAUGAUGGAAGUGGCUGACUGCGCGCUUCAGACACAAACACACGUUGGUUGUUACAUAGUAACAGUAGAUGACACCUGGGGACUAUUUAACAAGUGCCCACGGCUGCUGUGAGCACUUUACCAUGUGUUACUUCUCAUAACAAUGCUUUGAGGUGGCUACUAUUAUUACUGCCAUUUUCCAGAUAGGAAGCCAGGCGCAGAGAGGUUGAGUAACUUGCCUGAGGUCAUACAGCUUGACGUGGCAGAGCCCCAGUUUGAACCCAGGGCCUCUGGCUCCAGAGUGUGUGAGCAGGAUGCCCCUUCGCCCCAACCUAGACGCUCCCUUCUCCUCACCACGCCCAUUUUGCCAAAUCAUAGGCAUUUACCAGUAAUUUUUCCCCAGUGUCUUAAGCAGACAAUAUGUUAAUCUCCUUGCAGGAUCUGGUGGUAGAAAUCCUGCCCCUUUGGACAAUUCGCUAAAAUUUGCAGUGUAUGGACCCUCUGACGCAGCCAUUUCCUCCUGGGUUACUGUUGUAGAGAAACACUGUGUCCAAGGGGACAAGCAGGAUGUUCGUGACAGCAGUGCUCCUAAUAAUGGAAAAUCGGAAGCAACCUGAGGGUCCACCCACAGAGGAAUGAAAAAGAAAUCUUGCCUAUUUCUAUCACAGAUUACGUGCAGCAGGGUCAAGAAGGAAAUAGAUCUGUUAGUGGCGACUAGUGGCGACAUGGAAAGACCUGUGACUUACGUUACAGAGGGGAAGAAAGCAAGUUGCAGAGUGAUACCCACGCUAUUCCUGCAUUCCACAGAUAUUUUUGGGGCUUCUGCUCCACAACUGACACUGUUCUAGACACUGGGAAUACAGCAGUGAACAAAACGCGCUCCCUACCCUGGCUGAGCUGACGUCCCACCAGGGGGAGGGCAGAGGCAGGAAUAAAUGGUGGUAAGUACAAUGAAGAGAGACAGAAAGGGGGAUGGUUUCCCAUUUCUGUAAAAAGAAUCACCACAAAAUAAUACUAUGUGUUUUCUAUGGGUAUUUAUUUAUGUAUAUAAAUGCACUAAAAAAGGUCUGCAAGGAAGCACCCCAAACUGCUGACAGUCUGUUCUGCGGGAGCAGUGGGUGCUGGGUGGCUGUCCAAAGGCACUUCAGCUUUACGGGAGGAUAUACCCAUGUAUUUCUUGUGUAAUGAAAAAUUAAUGAUAGUAAGCAACUGGAAGCCUCCGACAGUGCUGCUGGAAAUAUAAAAUGGUACAACCACUUCGGAAAACUGUUGGUAAUUUCUUAUGAAAGCUGAACACGUGACUCGGCAAUCCUACUCCUAAGUAUUUGCUUAAGAAAAAUGAAAACCUGUGUCCACACGCAGACUGGCCCACCAAUGUUUACAGUGGCGUCAUUCAUACGGGUCCCAAAGUGGAGCCAACCUGAAAGACCAUCACGGGGUGCUGGGUGAACACGGAGUACAUCCUUGCCCUAGAGCGCUACUCAGCAAUGAAAAGGAGCAGGCCACUGAGACGUGGAUGAACCUGAAAGCAUCACACUGAGUGAAGGAAGCCAGGCGGCAAAGUGCACACACCAUAUGACUCCAAUUACAUGACAGACAAAACGAAUCUGCGCUGAUGGAAAUCAGAAGGACGGCUGCCUGUGGGGGUCAUGGGCGGACUGGAAGCGGACCUGAGGGAACCUUCCGGGAUGAUGGGAACGAUCUCGAUUUUCGUUGGAGGGGUGUACACAGAGUGCAGGCAUUUGUCAAGAUUCAUUGAAUCAUACGCCUCAGAUCUGUGCCUUUCAGUGUAAGUAAUUUUACCUUGAUAAUAAUAAUAAAAUAACCACCAAAGACGGGGAGGAAUGCUCUGACCUGCUAGGAGUGUUCAUUUCUAAAUCGUGGAAAGGUAGGUGAUUUUCAUUUUCUUCUAUAUGCUCACCUGGGUUGUUUGAAGGCUUCAGCAAUGCACAUGUAUUCCUUUUGUGAUCAGAAGAAAAAAAUGUAAAAGAUCUUAUGGCCUAUACAUCUAUGAA